rnacentral:rRNA from 1 species
UACGUAGGGGGCGAGCGUUGUCCGGAAUCAUUGGGCGUAAAGCGCGUGUAGGCGGCUUGGUAAGUCCGGUGUGAAACCUUGGGGCUCAACCCCAAGCCUGCACUGGAUACUGCCUCGCUUGAGUCCGGGAGGGAGAGCGGAAUUCCUAGUGUAGCGGUGAAAUGCGCAGAUAUUAGGAAGAACACCGGUGGCGAAGGCGGCUCUCUGGAACGGUACUGACGCUGAGGUGCGAAAGCGUGGGGAGCAAACAGG